rnacentral:rRNA from 1 species
ACUCAAAUGAAUAGACGGGGACCCGCACAAGCGGUGGAGCAUGUGGUUUAAUUCGACGCAACGCGAAGAACCUUACCAGGGCUUGACAUCCCGCGCGAAGCAUGGAAACAUGCAGUUUAUACUUUCGGGUAUAACGCGGAGACAGGUGGUGCAUGGUUGUCGUCAGCUCGUGUCGUGAGAUGUUGGGUUAAGUCCCGCAACGAGCGCAACCCCUAUUUUUAGUUGCCAGCGAGUGAAGUCGGGCACUCUAAAGAAACUGCCGGUGACAAACCGGAGGAAGGUGGGGAUGACGUCAAAUCAUCAUGCCCCUUAUGUUCUGGGCUACACACGUGCUACAAUGGCCGGUACAGAGGGCAGCGAAGGAGUGAUCUGGAGCGAAUCCCAAAAAGCCGGUCUCAGUUCGGAUUGCAGGCUGCAACCCGCCUGCAUGAAGUCGGAAUCGCUAGUAAUCGCGAGUCAGCAUAUCGCGGUGAAUACGUUCCCGGGUCUUGCACACACCGCCCGU